AGGGAACGUGAUACAUAAAGUCCAUAAAAUCUAUUAAUUCAUUCUCAUAAAAUUUGUAGUAAAAAGAAAAAAAAAAAAAAAAACAGAGAAAAUCCUUUUGGGGGAAGGAGUGACCACAACUUCAAUUCCAACCACAAUAUUUGGAAUCUCCAACAGCUAAAGUUUAAUUAAGAUCUGAAUGUCUUGUAGCUUAUUUACUCCCACAUGAGGGCCACAGAAUGAUUAGACUCUAGUUGUUUCUUUUUUUUUUUUUGGGCUGGGGGGGGGGGGGGGCUUAUUGAAGUAUGCAUGCAUACUGCAGGCAGCCAAUUAAGGUGGGACUAGGGCGUGAGUCAUAUGACCCUUUGUUGGUCUAAGAUGUGAACUGUGUGUGAGCUACAAGACAGAAGCAAGUUGUCUGCAUGGACCAGCCAUAUCUCUUGCGCACAAAUUAUUACUGAUCUGUUGAUAUCUAUAUCUAAUGCCAAUCUUUAUGAUAACCCCAGCAUUCAGUGUCACUCGAUAUAUGAACAACAACUGCACGCACACAUGAUGAGAUGUGGUCACUACCCAGCAGUAAAAUCCAGAUUUUAGUUCCUCGAGAAGCCAGCCAUAAUAUAUUCGAAUUUUAUGUAGCUCGUAAUUAGUCAAUUUUGAGGGUUAAAAAAAAUGUAAAUUUACAUGAAAUGAUUAAAUAUCAUUAAAACAUUUUAUAUUUCCUCCAGUUUUUGGGGCCUGGUUCAGCCCUCGUUUGUAGUUUGUUUCAAUGCUCAUGUAUAAGUGAUAUUAAAAUUGUAAAUUAACCGACUUAGGUCCUAUUUGGAAUUGAGGUACUGUAGUUUUUAAGCUACCGUUGCGGUGGAAAAAAAAAU
rnacentral:lncRNA from 1 species